UGCUAGAUGAUAUGGGUACAUAUGCCAAAAAAGAUAUUUUAUGAGGAUAUACAUGCAGAUAUCAAUUUUGAAAGGAUAUUUAUGCAAGUUUGAAUGUUUGAGAGGGUAUACAUGUAAAAAAACCUAAAGAAAACAUACUUAUAGGUUUCUGUUUUCCAUAUGGUGUGGAUUUUCACAUGUAAUCAGCGUUCGCCAAACCAUCCUUGAAGACAGUUAAGGGCAUUUCGAGUCGUACCAGCGGCAAAUCGGGAUAGUUCGGUUGGACAAAUUGGAACACCGGAUGAGAGAGAAAGAAAGAGAGGAAGAUAGAGAGAGGAGAGAAAGAGGGGACACCAUAGGGCCACAGAGGCCGCCGUAGGGCCGCAGAGGUCUCCGUGGCUCAGUGUUGUUUGAUAGGAUAUUUAAUUGAGAGAUAUAGAGAGAGAGGAUGAGCAAUGGUACCGGAGGGAGGCGUAGUUGAUGGAGAGGCCAUUGGAGGGCGAUGGAUAGCUGUCGUGGCCAUCAGGCAGCGAAAACAAUGCGGGCAGAGCCGUGAUGGUGGAACAGGGGCGAUUAUCGCAUUUUUUUUUAAAAUAACGAUAAAUAGUAAAGCCGGCAAAUCCAUUGUUGGUUUUACUGUUUCAGAAUUUUUUAAAAAAAAUCUGCUUCACUAUCGUCGAGAUUUUUUUUAAAAAAAAUCGUGAAAUAGGGAUGAUUGUCUGAUCGCCUCUGUUUCAUGCUCAUGGUGCCGCAAGCCACGAUUGGCUGUCCGGCGGUUACAAUGGCAAAUCGGAGGCCCAUCGGCGGCUUUUCUACCGGCUUCCCCUUCUUUGUAUAUAUAUCUUUAUAAAUUUUUUUUUUGCACAUUUAUCUAUAAAGAUAUUUUAGUCAUUUUAAUUUUAAACUGUUAAUUUUAACGGUGCUAGAUGAUAUGGGUACAUAUGCCAAAAAAGAUAUUUUAUGAGGAUAUACAUGCAGAUAUCAAUUUUGAAAGGAUAUUUAUGCAAGUUUGAAUGUUUGAGAGGGUAUACAUGUAAAAAAACCUAAAGAAAACAUACUUAUAGGUUUCUGUUUUCCAUAUGGUGUGGAUUUUCACAUGUAAUCAGCGUUCGCCAAACCAUCCUUGACCUGGACAGUUAAGGGCAUUCCGAGCCGUACCAGCGGCAAAUCGGGAUGGUUCGGUUGGACAAAUUGGAACACCGGAUGAGAGAGAAAGAAAGAGAGGAAGAUAGAGAGAGGAGAGAAAGAGGGAACACCAUAGGGCCACAGAGGACGUCGUAGGGCCGCAGAGGUCUCCGUGGCUCGGUGUUGUUUGAUAGGAUGUUUAAUUGAGAGAUAUAGAGAGAGAGGAUGAGCAAUGGUACCGGAGGGAGGCGUAGCCGAUGGAGAGGCCAUUGGAGGGCGAUGGAUAGCUGUCGUGGCCAUCGGGCAGCGAAAACAAUGCGGGC
rnacentral:lncRNA from 1 species